ACAUGUACUGCGGUAUUCGAUGAAGGUUUGUUCGCUCUUCACAUCGUUCAUUUCAUCUGAGUGAGUGAGUGAGUGUAUGCUUGCAUAUAUUUUUUCCGUAGCGCUUUGUGUUUCGAUCGGAAACUUUUAAUUUGAAACAAUAUCCGAUUGCGAUUUGUACAGAAUUCGCCGAAUCUCCGGCAGAGAAAGAAAGGGAAAGAUCGGAAGCGAGAGAAUGAAAUCACAAUUACAACGAGAAAAACGAAGGGAACCAAAGUCAAAGCUACUUGGAAUGGCAUGAAGACACGCGCAAUUUUUCGGUUCUAGCAUUAUUAUGACCGCUUCCAUAUACACUUUUUCAUGCUUUGAUGCUAUCUUCGUGUAGCAUUAGGCAUUCAAUUCACAUUUCAAUUUAAAAAUGAAGUUUUGAAAGAUCGAUCUAUUUUUUUUUUCUUUUUUGGCGUUGGUUCAUAUUCGGAACAAGGAAAUACUUUGUUCCAUCCAUAAUGCAAUAAAAUCGAUGAAGAAUCAACGUUUAUCUGAAGAGGGAAAACCGUACAAAUUACCAAAGCAUUUUAUAUCAAUCCUUUUCAUCACUUUGAAUGAUUUAUUCGCAUAAUUUUAUUAACGUUUUUUUUCUUUCUCCUGCAGAGAGAAAUUGCAACUUUGUGACAUAAAUAUUGAAUACUUUUACUGGGUAAUUACAUAGUUCGUCGCAGUGAUUGCCUGUGUGUUUGCACUUAAAUGCUGUGAACACAUUUCUCGGUAUCCGUACAACGCAUGUGCGCGAAUAAUAACUAAAACUUGUUUACUAAUUAAACAAAUUAUAAUUUUGAAUAUUUAAUGUGUUUUUAUUAACGUCGCUUCUGCUACUUCAGCUGCUCGAACAGCAACAUGAUUGUCCGUAUGCUGCUACUGCUGCUGAUCCAUAAUUUGCAUAUGUGACAGUGUAUGUGAUACAGUUUACUGGUUGAUUCGGAUUCGGAUGCGUGUGACUAUGAAUUCGCUUAAUGUUUCAAAUGGCUUUACUUGCCAGAUAACCGAGUAGCCGUGUAUGCAAAUGAUCAAGUACCUGGAAUUGUGUGCAGCAUCGUUCAAUUGCAUUUGUAAUGUUGAUAAAUGAAUAGCUAGUGUGUAUAGGUAGUUCUUUUGGUAUGAAUUGGGCUCAAAUUAAAAUGCAAACUUGGCUCGCUCAAGAUGAACGAUGAAAGCUACGGGAAUAAAGCGAAAGGUGAGAGCGAAACAGAGACACAGUGGGUUGGAUAUGGAGAUGAAGGAAUGUAAAGAGGGAUUAGUAGAAAUGGUUACAACUGAACAAUACCUGAAAAUGUUAAUGCAAUGGUUUAAUGUUAUUUAAAAAGGAACAGACAAUUUGGACAUUUCAUGUGCAAAUGCUCCACAUGGUUUAACGAAAAUACAGCGUACAAAGAAUCUUAAUUAAGUGAAUAUCGUUGUAUUUCCUUUUCAUUUAACUCGUUCAUGCCAUUGCUUUUUCGCCACUGAGCUCGGCACAUCGAUCCGAAUUUUCAUUCGGCAACAAUUUGAGGUUUCUUUUUUAUAUCCGUUUAUUCGACUUCCUCGUCGGAGGGAUAAUUUAGCACAUUUCAUUAGUAAAUGAAGACAAGCACGUAAGCAUAAGCGAUUGAGAUAAUAUUAUCCCAUCUCGUAAUUCCAGCCAUUUCACCGAAGAUCGGUUUGCCCAGCCGACAAUUACGUUUUUUUUUUUUUUUUUUUUGAUCCCAUAGCAACUAAUUGAGAAAUAACUAUCGCAUCGAUACGUAUUUAAUUUGACUGUGUAGAGAAAAUGGCACACUAUCACUUUUCCUUUCUUUGUUUCUUUUUCAUGGCUUAAUAUAAACGAAACACGUCGUUCUACUUUUUGCACGCAACAUGAGCUUUAGUCCAACUCAAACAUCCUGUGGAAGUCAAUUUGUAGCACUGCGGAAAUUAAUCCAACGCGAAAGACUAAAUCAAAAUAGGUCCACCAAUGAAUACAAGAUUCAUCUAAGUGUCUUUACCGCGCAAAAAACAAAAUGUGUCCGAAAAGGAGCGAAGACGUCAAAUACUAAUGGGAAAAGUGAAUAAACGAAUGCAAUAUGCAAAGUGAUUGGUUCAUAAAGUGGACCAACAACACAGCCAUAAAUUCCAAUUAACCUUAUAAAUAAGCAAUACGAUCACGCCCGAAAUUAAGCAGCUAUCAGCUGUACACUGAUAAAAGAAUAUGAAGACAUGAGGAGAAGAAACAAACAAGCUCUUAAACAAUAAUUUUUAUCACGAAUGACAUUUUAACUGAACAUGCAAAAACACUUAUUAUUAUUUGUAAACACAAAAUCGAAAUACAGUCCUGCUUAUUUGCAUUGAUUUGAUGCGACGAAUGUUUUGUUGUUGCUGAUCCAGCUGUUUUGCGUUCAGUUGAUGUGUUGUCGUUUUUUCGUCUCACAAAUCACCGGCAAAAAUCGAUGGUCGUGUCAGUGCUGAUGAUGAACGCCCGUUGAGCGUUUCGAAAUACGCAUUCACUUUAGAUAAAUAGAAUUGUGUAUCUUUUGUGCUACAAUAGCAAAAACAAUAAGGUGCUUUCAAACGAAAUUUCAAUUUUGUGUUUACAAAUAAGCUCUUGAACGUUAAGCUUCAUUCUUGGCCAUAAUAAAAUUCUUCAACAAACCGACGAACAGUUUACGAUGUAUAAGGAUGAUUGUGUUGGUGAGAUGGGAAAGAAAGAAUGUUCUUUCCAAUUCAAGUGUUUAAAAAGGAUUAACCUCGAAAAACCAACAAACAUUUUUUGAAUGAAACAUAUUCCCACAUUAUUGAUGCAAUGAAAACAUACGUCCCUUUAUUGUUACAUCAUAUACAUUGCUGAAUCAAACCUACGUUGUUUUAUAUCUCAUCAAUAGGAUUAUUAUUGUGGUCGAAGAAAAUUUCUUACAUCGAACAAAGAAGGAUAUUCAUAAUUACAGUAAAAGAUCUAAUAUAGCAUUGAAUAAAGUACAAAACCUCAUUUCACCUUGAUAAUGUCGUCCAAGAAAUCACAUCCAUGCGCAUAUUUAACGACAAAACCAGCAAAAUCGGAACUUCAUAACAAUACCCACCAAACGAUAAUAAUAGUUAAAGAACAAAAAGUAAUUGAAAAGGUACAAUAAGUAUACAUCUUCUAGUGCUUGUAUCACAUAGCACGGGCGGCUCAAAGCGCCAUUCAGAAGGAACGGAACACGCAUAACCGAAAUGAGAAUCACACGAAACAAAGGCGAACGAGAAAGCAAUGCCGAACAAUACACGCACAAUACAGCGAAACGACGUAACCAUAACAAACACAGUGGUUCAUGGAAUAUUAAAAAAAAACUUACUCAUCUAAAUGGGUAACGUAAACAGGUCGCAUCGUGACCUCCUACAAUUCAGGAUUUUUUUUUCCAUCGAAAUCAGCUUUCCAAUCAAAAUUACAAAAACUAAGUUGAAAAUUGUUUGUGUUGUGGCAAAACGAAGAAAGAAUAAAACACUUUUACAAAGUUUUUAAUACACGAUGCAAUUAAUUUGCUGCAUUCUUUCUUCACAACAGCAUAAAAAAAAAGUGAGCUAUUUCUUUUACUUUGACUAGCAUUGGAGCUACACUGCUGUAAACAGAGGAGAUUGAACAAAGAGAGAAACAUUCGUUGACUCGUGAAAAUGUCGAUAAAAAUACGUACUUCAUAAAAACCAUUUUCCGUACACAUGUGAAUCAACCUUCGAAUUUGCCCAAUAAAUAUAAUUUAGCUGCGCUGUGCUGUGCAUUCUGCCAAACUAACACAUUCAUUUCAACAAAUAAAUCUCGACCAAUAAAGACUUUUGGAAAUCUAAUGUUUAAUUAGUCCAAUUUGCACGAAAAAUAAAACACUUUAAAUAAUAUAGCUAAUCAUUUUAUGAAUGGCAAUAAAAUGAACAAGAAUAACAACUUGAAAUGUACAUCUAUUGAAUGAAGUAAACAACAAACUCAAUUGCUGAUUAAAAUAAUGGUGAUGAGUCGGCUUGGAAAACAAUUUUGAGUGUACUUUUCACGCUGGUCGCGUAUAUUUUUACUGCAUGGGCAAUUAUUAUUGCCGAAUUAUACAAUGGACGUAAUUCAGGUUAGAAACUAAGCGAAAAAAAUUGCAAAAUUAAACAAGGAAAGCUUUUUUCAAUAAAAAUUUGUAAGCUAAUUGAAUAAUGUUUGUUAUUUUUGUUCUAAAAUUACGAAAAAGUCCUCAAACAAUCGGAACGAAGAUGAAAAAUAAACAAAAUGCCACUGUUUGAAUAUGUAAACAAUUAUCGAAGAAAACACAUAUCGAAUAAACACAAUUGGUUUCAUUGAAGCCGAUCAACCGAUGAUAAUACAAUGGUUUGUGUAAAUUCGACCAAGGACAUCAUUAGAUACAUUCGGUGCGCUUACGUAGGCGUACUUCUGUUUUUAACGACCACAAAAAGUACAAUAUACACACACACACACACACACACACGCACAUACGCACACACACAUACUUGUACAGCUUCAAAACAGACUAUAACUCGGUUGGAAUUCAUGGUGCAAGUUUCCAUUGAAAACAUCGUAAAAUUAAUUGAAUUUUAUUCUCAGCUAUUUAAAUGAGUACAUAUAUAUGUUCGAAAUGUUUAGAUCGACAUUUUUCCACAUAUUUUUAUACAUAACCAUUGGAACGAUGGACUGAGCAAUAUUUUCAAUUUACUGCAAUCAUUUGGUCGUUUAUGUUUAUCCAUAAAAACAUCAGUUGUCUUGUUAGUGUGCGUUCAUCGAAUCCAUGUUCAAUUUUUUGGUUUUGGUGGCAUAUUAAACAUAGAAACAAUCGGUCGGCUAUGUGUGCACAUGAUUUUCAAUUAGGUUCUAAACAAUCGGUUGUUUGAUUUAGCUAUUUCGUAUAUAUGGUGUAAGGCAUUACAUAUGCUCGAAUUUGAGCAUCACAAUCGAAAUGCAUAGUAACAAUUUUACCAAAAAAUAAAACACUGGCAGCUAUGUACUUCAACAAUGGUAAAUUACCACUUCGGCACUAAGCAGCGAGUGGGAAAUUAUGAAAAUAGCAUCAGUCCGACAUCAAUUGGUAUCCGAAUAAACUUCUGCUAAAUUAGCUGAAUUCGAAAUUGGAAUUCCUCAAAAGAAAAAUAUAUUUUCGAUAUUUUGUGCGGAAAUGAUUUUUGGAAUUACAACCACAAGAGAAAUCUAUGUAAAAAGAGUUUGAAAAAAAAAAAUCAUUUUGCUACCAGAGAUUUGAGUCGACGCCAAUAAACUGAAAGGCAUUGAAACGUUGGAACAAGGUAGAAAAGCGCAAAAGUACAUGUUCAGACCCAAAUCCAAACCACAAAAACCAACAACGCUUGUGGACAUUUCCAUUUGGAAUGGCUUGGCUUGGCUUGGCUUGGCUUGGCUUGGCUCAAAUGAUGAGAUGGCAAAUGUCAGUGAAGUGUUGCUUUUCCGGGUUCGAUUCAACCAUUUUAAAUUUCAAAUUGAUUGAAUUCAAAGAUGUGAAACAAAUAAAAUCAACUUUAGUUCUUCGUCAGCACUUUGUCUCUAUCUCUCGCUUGCUUUUGAUUUCAGUCUAGAUGAAGUGUAUUUGAUACCGAAAUUGCCCACUUAUUUCGAGGGUAUCGUUGUCCGUGCAAUACAUUCCAACAUUCUUGAUUUGAUGCCACAAAGUAUUCAAUCAAUAUGAAGCACAAAUCAACUUAUUCCUUACGAGCCAAUCAAUUUUGCAGCUUUUUCUCCGUUUUUUUUUUCUUUACCGAAUGCGUAGCAGAUUGGAUUCGGUGGAAUUUUUUUAACGAGACCAAUCGAAACAGUGAAACAGAGAAAUUGAUACCGAAAAGUGGAAAUAAGACAACUCGGACUAACUCAAAGAUCUGAGUAAGUAGUGUUUUUUUAGUUGGUUUGCUAAAAUUUUGAAGACUGUGCUAUAUAUAGAUACACGAUGGCAAGGAAGUUUUUUUUGUAGCAAAAGCAAACGACGUCGAAUAGCAAUGAAAUUGAAAUUCUACAAUUUGAAAAAUCGAAAACCGCCUUUUGUGUUAUACCCAACAAAGUAGUGAUAUCAAAAUGGAAUUGGUUGCAUUCUUCUCGUCAGAGCGAUUUCCAAUGUAGAAACUACGCCUCAAAUAUGAUUAUUUGAAAAACAUCCGUCAAAAGGAAAAUAUUGGAGACUUUUCGGAUGAAGCGAUCGAAUCAAACCCGUUUAUCUUACUUUUGUUAUGCAUUGAACUUUCUUAAUGGCGUCCCCGAUUGACUGUUGAAAUGUCAAAACUGUACGCAGAGACAUAGUCGUUGAGUUGAAUGUACUUCAAAAAUGUGCGUAAUUUAAUGAAUAAGGAAUGAAACAGAGUAAAUCUAAUAAAAAAUGCUAGCUGUCUGUUAUAAUUAGAAUGAAUGACAUCAGCUGGACUGGCACAGGGAAAAUGUCGAUGAUGAAUGAGCGGAAAACGGAUAGCUACUAUAUAGUAAACUGUAUAGUAAACUAUAGUGAACUAUAUAGCUAUCCCUUUUCAUUUGACAUUUUUCCGCUCAACUUUUCUGUAUUACAUUUUCGCUUCAAACCAUUCAUAUAUCUCUGACAACUUGUCAUAUUGCUGGAAGUUUUCGGCGCCAUCACGUGCAAUGCGCUACCGCACAACUCUCCAUUAAACGUUGUCGGAUGAUUGCUCAUCAACAUGUGUAUCUCGAUUGACACCCACUCCAAUGCCCAUAUAAAAAUGGUAAAUGCCGGUGCAUAAUAAAUCACUUAACGCAGCCCUGUAUAGUGUUCAUUGACAAUCGAUAUGUUUUCGUGGUGAGAAACUUUGAUUGAAUUUCAAUGUACGUCAUUAUAUCAAAUGCACUACUAAUUGAUUGUUAUGAAUAUGAAACGACAUCUUGACGCCAGAUAAGAUUAUUUCACGAGUCACUGAAAUACACAUUGAUAGCAUUCAAUCGUUCUUCUUCCCACUGCUCGGCUCACACGGAAGUCGAUUCGAGCGCGCGAAUCUAAAAUAAAACUUCAUCGCCUCGUUUUAUUUCAAUUCGACUGUCUUCCAUAUUCAUCUAGCUUAUAUUUUUUGGGCUGCAAUUCAUCAACGCUAUUCCUACAGUUGAUUUUCUGGGUGUUGUAGUUGUUCUUCUUCUGUUUAUUUUAAAAUCUAAUCUUUAGGUUGGCGUAAAGUGCAAUAACAUUUUUUUUUUCCGAGCAAGUCUUUCAACUUUAGUUUGUUUGUUUGUUUACAUUCUCUUUUUCGCAACAAUUCGUAACUAAAACUUGAAUCAUUGCUCCAUCCAUGCGGUGUUUGCCAAAUGAAAUACUUACACAGUCACUGAAAGUGAUGUUGUGCAAACAGCUAAUUCAACAAACCUUGGUACAAAAAACUUAACGCGUGAUAAUAUCAUUAUGCUAUAGCGUGUUUAUGAUUCUUAAAGGAUGCCACUAUUCAGUGCUCCUGGCGGAUCUAAAGUUGUUGGAAUUAUUUUCAAGUUACAGCACUUCAAAAUUUUAAUUUGUUGAAAAAAGUGAGUUUUUGCGUCAUUUUUUUAAAUUUCCACUUUUUUUCGUCGAUUUUGCACUGAAAAUCAUAAAAUCAAAAAUGAAUUCCGGGAAAACUAGUGGAAAAUUGAAAAAACUGAGUAUGCAGAUCUUUUUUUUUUCAUUUAAAUAAGAUAUUUUAGCAAUAUUUUGAAAAUCGGUGAGAAAAAAAUAAUUGUGGGUCGAUUCGAGUCAAAUACCAAAAAAAAAAUCAACUUUGACGGGGUUUUUAUCAUACAGACAUAGAUUUCUCUGUCGUCAAGUAAUUAGUUUGAUAAUUUUUUUCACUAUGAAAUGAUCCCAAUAAAAUCUUCAUUCUGAUCCAUAAAAUUUGCCAACGUCGUCCUUUGUUGUUAAUUUAUUGGAUAUUUUCCAAUAUAUAAUCAUUUGUGUGCCGUUGUCACUGCCAAUGAGGCCGACGCCGUCAAUGCCUCAUCCCAUCAAUUUACUCUAAUGACUUUCACUGGCAAAUCCAUACAAUUCGUUGGUUGCCGACUGAACAGAGAUGGACUCGCUUAUCAAUAAACCGGCUAUUCAAAAUGAUUGAGAUCUAACGCUGAGCUGAUUAAAUGUAAAUCAUGAAAUUAUAUUCGUUUUCACAUUCGAACACAUUCGAUGAAAAUGAAAUCAGCUGAUUUGAUUUCAACACGUUAUCAAGAACAAUAUUUUCUGCGAAGGAAAGCAGUGAUGGAAACAACCGAUGUUCUUUUUUCGACGAAUGGAAAUUUAUUUCUACAAAUAUGGGAUAUGAUGAGUCACCCCAUUGGUGAUUGCACUUUUCACCCGAAACGUUCAUUAUUAAACGAGAAAUUAGAUUAGUGACGUUCGUUCAAAAGUCAACAAAAACUUUUGGAUCGAAAGGUUUCGAUUUUAAUUUCGACGAAUGGUUGAGUGGAAAGAAUGAAUCAAACAGUGCAAUUAGUUAAGCGGAACGAGCAUGCACGGAAUAUUUUAAAACAACCUUUGAAAUUUUUAAAUGAAAAAUAAUUGUAAUUCGGUGGCAAAUAUUGUUGCUAGGUGCAUUCAAGUGCUGUUUUGGAGCUUGUGAUGUUGAAUGCCUGGUUGACACUUACACGUGCAAUACGAAUGAUAUACAAUCAGCAGUUUUAAAAUAGCGUGCGACAUCGUAUUAAAAAGUUUACCAAGUAAAAGCUUCAAUACAAUCGUAAAAUUGUCGCUGCACAGAAAAUUGAACAAGCAACGUGUCGGACGAAAAUGUGAGAAUGAAGAGCAAUAUCACGUUGUGUGACAUCAUUUUCACGGUAAGUGGUUGUGUGCUCUUUACGUUAUCGUGUACCGUUUAUACACUUGACAGAGAGUGAGCACAAACAGCAUAACCAUUCCUAAUGAUAAAGAUAAUGAUAAUUUUUACGAUAUAAAGACAUCCAAAUGUAGACCGAAACACUUGUUGAACGAAGAUCAUCAACGUUUGGUGGCAAAUGCAUAUGCAAUUUUGAGCGCUUUGACGAAAUACUCUAACAACAACACUCAUUGCGACCAUUUUUCAUUGCUUCGUGCACCGUUGUUACAAGUAGCUGUUGAUUGCAGAUUUACUUUAGAUUUAAAAAAAAAGAGCACAAAAUGCGAUGUGAUUUAUACAUUUAUUACGCUACGAUGUAUGGCCGAUUAACUGUACGUUUCGCUACCGCUUGAAGUAGUAAUGCUUGAACUUAAGUCCUUUAUCAAUCAUUCGACCACAUUUAAGUGCGCAGUUUAUAUUUUUUCCUCUACUGCGUUGAUAAACAUCUGAAAAUCUUCAAAAAUAUUUAUAAAUUGAAUGAACAAACACAAAUGUGAUAUCGAAAAAUAAACAGUAGAAAAUGAACCGAAAGAAAGAGAACAGAGGAAGCAAGAAAAGUGUAGCGUGACGAACUUUAAUGGUAUUCAUUUCCGACUUUUUGUGCUGGUGGGGCAUUUUCACAAUGGACGUGGCGAUCGCUUCUCGUUCCAAUGAAAUUGAUGAAAUAUUUGGCUUGGUACAGUAUCACGCGUUUUUUGUUCUCUCUCUCUCUCUCUUUCUCUCUCUUUCUCUCUCUCUCGAGUUGAGCUAAAUUUUAAGGUUGCGGCCGACGUCACUAGCAUCGCAAAUUUCUUGCAAUCACCAAAGCGCUGAAAUGGUGGCAGUCUUGGUUACUUAUGACAAACCAGAAAGCAGUUGUUAAUUUUAUUUCACUGGAUUUUCCCAACAACGAAAUUCUUGAGAGCGAUUCCAUAGAAUUGUUAUUUUUUGCUAUAUUUCGUUUUUUUUUUAUCCUGCUGAAAUCAUUUGCAGUGGCUUCGCAUAACAAAUGAAUUUGGAAUACUAUUCAAAUGUACGAGGCUGCCGUAUAAGGGGGAAAAAAUAAGUGAAAGAAAAGCUCGCGGGUGGGAAACGGAACCGAAACACUUGAUAGCAUUGCGUGUGCAUGUGCAAUUAUGGGAAUGGUUGUUUUUGUGUUCAUCUUCUACUCGCCCCGUUCUUGGUUGAAAUGGCCACAGGAGUGGUUCGCUGAUUUGGCGAGAUCGUGCAUUUCAAAUUGAGGAAAACACGAAAAAAGAGUUCUGCACGAAUCCAACUUUUUUUUUUUUGAUUAAAAUGCAAGCAUAAAUAUUAACGUGACUAUGUGUACACUAGUUUACCACACUAUACACACUUUUAUUUUUAUUAUCAAAACGCCUUUGGGACAGUCGCAAAUUCUUUGACUUGACGCAAAAAUUAUUUUAUACUUUACUCUAUUUAUGCGUACGCACGAGGAAAAAUGUUUCACAUAUUUAACUAAAACUGGUUAUCUAUAACCAAUUACAGUGCUGGAUACAAGUGAUGCACGGUAUGACACUCCACAGUGUGGAUAUUUAUCAGUGUUGUCAUCUUCUCUUUCGGCUUUUUUCUUCUUCUUCGCAUUCGUUCUCAUCUUAGCCAAAUAAAAUUUAUCGCAGCGAUAACGUUCGAGUGGAUGGGCAUUAAUUCCAGUUUUCAGCUAUCACUUCACCUCAGCCAUUUCAAUUUUUAACAGCACUGUGGAUUGUACAUCAGGGUACUAUAUAUAUUGUGGAAGUGUAUAAAAUAACCAUGCACUCACACGCACGCACCCUCCUUCGCUCGGCAAAUUGAUAGCGUACUCUUGAUAUUGCGUGUGAAAAAUAGUGAACACACCGGAAAUGGGGCUGGAGAAAAUGCAAAGAGAAUCUCACCAGAGAAUUGAUGAGAGAGAAGGACAAUGGAUGAUUUCGCACAUUUUACGGCUUAAACCUCAGCCAAUGUUCCAAGCGAAUGCAAUUCGUGAUAGACUAAUUUGCAUACUAAACUGUAGUCACUGAGAUAGCCAGCCACUGAGAUAGCGCGCACGCACACCAUUAAGCGCACAAUUCCACCUCGAGAUAAGAUUAAAAUAUUCAUGUCAAUUGAAUAAAAGUGUACGGAUAGAAAAGAUACAAGAGAGACAACGUACAACGAAGCAGAAAUCAACGAGAGAAAAAUCAAGUGCGCAAAUUUUAUUAAAACUCGUCGUAAUUUUUCCUGCUGCUUUUUAACGGUGAUGGACGGCCUGCGGUUGCUAUGCCGAAAACCAAUUAUACACUGAGAACACAAUGAACAAUCAGUUUACCUAAUUUCAAUCAAUGCAAUUUUCGAUAAUUGAACUGCUUAUGCUGCAUUUAAUGUUUACUUGAUCAAAAUUUAAAGUGCGAAUAAGAAAAGAGUUUAUCGAACGGGUUCAUAUGACCCAGCCGGCCGAUCCAUAGACAAAUUAGUUGCGCUUGCAUCGGAUUAUCUUCAUACGGAUGUGCUUGAGUUCACGAGAUGUUUAACAAAAAAUAGAGAGAGAAAAAAGCCUGAAUAGCUUUUUCCAGGAGUCCAGCUGAAAUGUGUAACUCCAUCACUUUAAUUUAUUGUGUUGAUUGCAAAUGGCAGAAGAUUAUAGACAAGACAGAGUCUGCAAGCAGAAAAAAGAAAAUGAUUUAAGCUUUGCAAAUGUGUUCGUUUUCUCAACCAAAGAAUAAAUGUUGACUAUUUGUGAAAGUGGAAGUGGUUUAAGGAAAAUCUACCGCAACGCAACGAUGGGUUGAAGUUAAUCGUUGUGAGUGUGUGUAUGUGUGUGUGUGUGUGUGUGUUUAUGUGGCAUUCGCAUCCAAUUUAAGUGCAUCAAUUUUACACACUUGAGUUUAUUACAAAUUAAUCUCUUGAUGUGCAAAGGUGUGUUUGCAAAUGUUUAAUAGCUUCUGAGGUGAUGAACGUUACAAUAUGAAAUUGCCGUUAUUUAAAGAUAUAAAAUUCACUUGGAAAUUCAUCAACGACCACAAAAAAUCGAUACGAUGAGUUCAAUAUUUAUUUGAGCGAAUAUAGUUUAUUUCGAGCAAAUAGCUUACGUUAGUGAUGCAAUCAACUCCAACAUAAAUCGCUAACAUUGCUGACGAUUUACCAAGUGAGAGAAGAAGAAAAAAAACACGCGCUACAAUAUUGAUUGCAAGUUGAGUACUUUCAAACUGAUUUCAUACUUCGAUAACUAAUGCUUUAAGCUAUGAGAUUGCAUUUGCUGAAGUGAGGCGAAUAACACUCUUUUUUUUCCUUUCUCUCUUUCUCGCCUGAAUAUUAUCGCAAAAAUACGAAUUGAUUUCAAAGUGGAUGUACAAAAUAGAAAAUAUUUACGGAUACAUUUUGCAAUGGAUCGAUCCAACAUUGCCCAUUAUUAUCAUAGUCGACUCAUGGCAGUGCCAUUGUUAUCUAUAUCAAACUGUUUAUUAGUUGCUCAUUUUGAACACUUUACCCGUUGCACAAAUAGAAAUUUUCCCAAGGAGAAGUUCUCAAAAUAGACUUAACUCUCUCACUGGAAAAUCGAACAACAAAAAACAAUGGGAUGAAGAAAGAAAACUUGCUUGCAUUGAAUGCAGCGAGCGUUAGUAGUUUCAGCCAAAUCGGUAUUUUGUUACUCCGAUAUUCAAUUCAGUUUAUUUCAAAUUCUCCAUCUCCAUAGACUCGGAAAGCUCGACGUUGACGUUGUCUUGCACUUUUCCACAGCUUUUACGUCUUUGAUCAAUUUUGUUGACGAAAAAACGCAAUGUGCCGGAAAGAAAUAGAAAGACACAGAGAGAUACUGAGAGAGAAAAGCGAGAGAGAAGAGAGAACAAGAAAGAAAGGAAGAAAGAAAGAAAGAAAGAAAGAAAGAAAGAAAAGAAGAUACGAUGAAUUUUGAGAGAAAAAAAUGUGCCCGAGAAAAUAUGAGAUCUGUUCUGAGGAAGAAAAUGAUAUACGUUUGCUUUCGAUGUUAACGGUAAUAUAUUUGAUGUUAGUUCGAGCAACACAAAACCAAGUAUAUUAAUCGAGCAAAACCAAAGGCAACAGACCCAGAAAAAUGAGUAAUAAUUAUAAUCCAAGAUGAGCCGCUCAACCUGUUCAUUAUUGCUCAAAUAUUCAUCUCAUGCAAACUUUCGCCGUAACGUAUGCGAACCAUUUUUACAGCGUUCCAAAAUAGAAAAAAACAGUUUAUCGCAAAUUGAUGUACUACAAAGGAAUGCAUCGCUAUGAAAUGCCAGCGUUUUUUUGAAUCACAUGCACCUAUUGCUUAUUUAGUCUCUCAAAAUAUUCCCAAGCGUAAAAAAAUCUGCAUUUGCAAUAAACCAUCAUUAUGUUAAGAAUGUAGUAUCCACGAAUCUUCAUUGUAUAAAAUUUUUCUGGUGGGGAGCCCUGGUUGUUCGGAACUUUUUUCGUUGUGGAUAUUCGUUUGCCGCCAUGUGCUGGACAUAUUUUCACGUUUCUCUCUCUCCCUCAGUCUCUGUCUCAACGUUCCCACUUUCGGCAUUAGGGUCAAUUAUUAUGAAACUUUUGAUGUGGCGCUGAUGAAAGAAAACACGUAAUAAUGAAAAACAAAUAUUUAUUGCUUUUCUUCACUUGAAAAUGCAUCGUUGCAUGUAGGAUGCAUGCAAGUUUCAUCGCCUAGCAACCCAUGAUUCGUAAACAGUUUUUUUCUUUCCGUUGUUGUUGGUGGCGGUGCCGAUGGUGUUUUCUCGGAAAUGCCUGAGCGACUGGUUGGAUAGUGGUUUUUUUUUUGUUCAUCAGCAAAUGCUUCAAUGCAUUAAAUUUGCAAUGUUAUUCAAUACCGAUGGCAGUAUCGACUAUCAGUACAUGUGUCAUCUAUGGUGAAAAAUUCGCUAUAAUUUUCAAAAUGUCAGAGUAAAAAUUUCCAGAUUGUCACAAUCAUAAAAUGCAAUUUGAUAUGAUGCUUUUUGAUGCAUAAGACUGCUGGGACAUGUGUCAGCAUCUAUUCCGUUCCAUUCAUUUCAUCGACAUAUCUCUUGAGUGUGGGUGUGGAAAACUUUCUAUCAUCGCAAAUUUCUCUUCCCCCUGUCAAUUAUCAAGUGAAGCGAAAAUCUGAUUCGUAUGUUAAAAUGUGUCAUCUCUUCAUGUAAUUACACAUGUGCUAUGAUCGGGUUUGUGAUGAUGAUUCAGAGAUGCUUUUCUACCAAAAAAAACAAAAACAAAAUAGAAAACAUCGAUUCAAUGAAAACGGGAUUAACCGAUUAUUGAUCAUCAUAUUUUCGUUCACUGUUCCAAAUCAUCACAUUAAUCUCACUGCUCAUGCAUAAAUUUUAACAUUAUUCGCUAAACCAGCAAAGUAUUCAUUCAAACUUCGUAUCCACCACAGAUUUACGCAUUUCUCUUUCACUUUUGAUCUCAAUGAACAUAAGUUCGUUCGUUAGAUAAUAGUUUUUAGUUUUAAUUAUGGUCAUUUCAAGUCUUUUGAUUACUUCAAAGAAAAGAAAAAUGAAAAAAAAACCAGUCUCAAACAAUAACUUUUUUUUCUCCACAUGUUAGCAAAGGAUAUUUUGUAGCCUAUGCUUUUCGAUUUGAUAUAAUCUUCGAUUGAAAAUGGUUGGAAGAAACUUUUCCUCGACAUUCGACUAUCGAUAUUACGACCGGGUAAACUUUCUUUGGAGACUCAUUAAAAUUUUAUAUUUAUUUGUUGCCCGGCAUUUUUCCACUUGCACAAUUCUUCUCGAAAGGUUCCCUCUACAACGAUGAUAAAAAAUCGGCCAUAAAUUGUCUUGACUUUGCAUAAUUGCAUCAACUUCAUAGCUGCACGAAACAGCGAAUGCUUUAUAAAACGCAAACUUUUUGAAUUUAAUUGAUACUUGAACGUGUCGCCGUAUUUUGAGCACACUUGAUGUGUAAAUAAUGGGGCGAAAUAAUGAAUUUUUUUUUUCUGUUCUCCCAUCCAAAUUGGAUUGAAUAAAUGAAGUUUAAAGUCGGAAUGUGUCCGUCGAAAUCGUGAGAAUGGUUAUAUCAUGCGGAAUUAAGUGAGGACGAAAAAAAAAAACCAAAGAGAGUGGAAUCGUACUCAAGAGAGUGAUAAAAUAACAUCAAAUGAUAAACAAUCUAGGGUUCCCGGGUACAACGAGAGCGGAAUGUCCGAGCGGCAAAAAUCUCCAUUUGCUGGAUCGCAUGCAACCAAUUGAAGGCGACAAACUGAAAUGGUGAACGGGAUAUGAACGGUAUAACACGCUACAUAGCAACGUCUUUUUCCGCAUACUAAUGCGACAUAGAAUAUGCAUUAAGGCAUCCGUCCGACCAAAUCAAGAGAAGGCGUUGAGUAUGUCAGUAGAAAAUCACACCGGUUGAUAUCAACUGACUGUUGAACGCGCGUGAUGCGCGUUUAUUUCAAAAAUGUAUCGGGAUGAGUUGGACACGUUGUGCCGCGUGCAUUUGGCUCACUCAAAUCAAUUUGUCGUUUGAUAUGUCAUUUUCCCACCGGCAAUUACUUAUCGUGUUCAAAAUGAUGACGAUUUUUCUUUUAUGUAAAAGACCCGUAACAACCAAAAUAUUUGUAAGACAUCAGUGAUAUGGAAUGCAUACGGUUUAAUCGUAUCACAAUUACUUUCUGACAAUGGAAGAAACAAAAUGCACAGAUGACUGACAGCCAUGAGUGGUAUUUGGCUUGUCGCGUUUGGCGAUAACAGAGAAAGAUUGAACCGAGUGAUGGUGACAGCGCUUUGCACGUGGAAAAGACAAGCGCACUGAGUAAAAAAAGUGAAGGAAAACCGCGAGCAAGGUAAUGUGAUGCACACAGGACAACGAACGACAACGACGACAAAAUCGCUCGAGAUAUGCGACUGCCUAAUGCUCAGACCACUAUUGCAAUUUCUUUGAAUGUUUUUGUAAUCUCUGGAGGGAAUGCUCUUGCUCAACAGCAAACGGAGCCACAUUAAACUAUCGUUUCUUUUUUAACAAUAUAAUAUAUUCUUGGGAAUUUAUCACAUCUGCGAUCUUUGACGAAACGGCACCCGAACAAAAAACGGAUUCAGUAUUGGUACAAAGGAAUGCUAAAUGUAUGGCAACGUUAAUGCCUUUUUUGGCUGUUUUUCGAUGGUCGUUGCAAACUGUAAUUUUUCCUUCUCUGUUGUCGUUGUGUGUGUGUGUGUGUGUGUGUGUGUGUGUGUGUGCAGUGUAACGAAACGGGAAACCCACUUAAAUUCAUUUUAGAAUGCAAAAGAAAGCUACGAUUUUCUUUGUAUAAAUAUGGUACACAGUUUUGCAGUUAAAAUAUGGCUGAAUAUUGGACGAGCUUUGCUCAAACAACACACAUACACGCAAAUGUGUAUAAUCAAUCUUUGCAUUGCGAUGAAUAUUCUGGAUGAUAAAAUGUCGUUUCUUCCGCAUUUCUGUCGCAGUUUCGAUUAUUGCUGAUGUUAUAGGGUUGUAGAAAAACGAUGUAAAUCGCCUUCUUAUCCCUCUUUCGUUUUUCAUUCGAUAUUUACUGUAAACAAUCUUAAAAACUCGGCGGGAAAAGAAACAGAGAUCCGUUAAAAAAAAAUCGUUCCAGUUGUUGAUGCACUGAGGAGGAUGACUUGCAGCAAAUAAAUGCCGUUUUGUGUAUUCUCUUCACAUGAAGCACGAUGAAUGAUUGCUUUAUUGUCAUUCCACAUUUCAAGCCAUACAAUAAAAUUGUAUAAAUUUAUUGCAUUCCUUUUUUCAUUUAUUUCAUGAAUUGAAAUCGUUGACGUAUUCAAUUGAUCGUCAGUUUUCCACUUCUAUUCCCCAAAUCAUUUUUGGUAAUUUUUGCUUAAGAAUUCCCGAUUUUUAUUCCAUAUCCAUUUCAAAUGGGGGACAUUUCAACGGAACUUCAUCAGCAACAUUUCUCUGAAAUGGAUUAUUCGAUUGUGAAAUGCCAUUUAUCGUUUGUUUCGUGACGCAGCUCGUAGAUGCAUAAGGCUGUAUUCGUAGUAAAAAAAAAAAUGAGCAAAAAGCAUACCUUCAUCGCUUUGAAAUAUAUUGCAUUAAAUUUCGCAUUGAUGAAUUCACCGUUUGCAAUCGGUAUCGAAUUCAUAGUAAAGACGCAGACUUUGAGUUCUCCUCGCAAACAGAGCGCGAAAACCAAAAAAUAAUCGUCUUCUGGCAUUAGUGGCUCGUGCAAUUUCCGUUUUACCAAAUGCUUCACUAUGCGACGGCAAUGUCAUUUAUGUAGUUAUGUUUUCGGGUGCGCGCUUACGAAUUUCAAGUUGAAAAAUGUAAUUUGAUUUUCGAGUGCAAAGUUAGUGAAAUAUUGAAAAGCAUUCCAUUUAUUGAAUGCAAAAAUAUAGGAGUCGUAAAGAAAAUUGUAAAGCCAUAAGUAUGUAAAAAUUUGCAAUGGCGAAUGACGCAGUCAAUCGACUGCAUCUGAAGCCUGAUGAAAAUUAUCAACAACUGAACUAGCGAUACGUUUUGCGAUGCAGUUUUUUUUUGUAUGGAAUUGAAAAGUUGAAAUUGCAAUCCUUGUGAAGCAGAGGAGUGAGAACAGAAAACAAGAAGAAAAAAAAACAUGCGGCUGACAACACAACAGUAUUUCAGCAAUGAGAACGUCACAAUGUAUAUUCAAAAUAGAGUGCACUUGAUAAAUUUACUUCACGAUAAACCUGACAUUUAUUAUUAUACGGCCUGAAAACAAGCGUAUUCAUACAUAAUUUUAGCAACAUCGUAAACAAAAAUGAACUCAGCUCCAAACAGAACACAUAAUUAAAUACACACACGCGUUGUUUCUCUCUCUCUCUCUCUCUUUCUCUAUUGCUCUAUCAACACAUAGCUGAAGGGAUUAUGCCUUAAGCUUCAUUAUAAAGUAACAACGCUGUCAAACGAUCAUGAUCCUACUUGGAGAUAAGCUUUACGAAAUUCUUCGUGUAGUUCAUCUUGCAUUUGCAACCAGGUUAAUUCCCACUUCGGAUGCUUAACGUAUGACUUCAACAUAUAAUUAUAAUUCUAUAACAAUUAUUAUAGAAAAUCCACGUUCAUUCCAUUAAUUUGUAACAUUUUGAUAAUGAACAACAUACAAAACACACAAAACAAUACAGACAUACAAAAUGAUUUAUCAACAUUAAAAUUACACCACGGUUGCAAAUACGACUCAAUGGUAAAACAAAUAUAUUUGAUAUUAUAUAUAUCAACAAUCAGUUAUUCAAAUUGAAUUUGCCUGGCAAUGAUCUCUGUGGUAUAUUGUGUGUGUGUGUGUGUGUUUUAAAAUAGGCGAUGAUUCGAAAAUUAAAAUGAAUUUUAUUUUUUCUCUAUAUUCAAUAUGGUUUCAGCAGCCAGCAUUCAAUGAACGCCGAUCAUAUAUAUUCACUUGUGUAGUUUACCACAAAUCUGGGUUUACCAUAAAAACCACGAUUGAACCAUUGCAAUAUUGUUUGACACAGUUUAUUGAGAGAAAAAAGCCAUUGCGGUCAAAUCCACAUUCACAAAAAUCCGAAAUUGGAAUUCACCACAGAAGGAACAAAAAAAAGGAUAAGCGCACGUGGACACGAAUCCAAAAUAUACACAAGAGCAUUGGGCAAAAGCGAUUGUCUGCUUUGAAAUUGCAAAUCAUUUUAUUCACAAAGAAUUCGCUCAUAAUUUAAUUUUGAGUUUAUACAAUUCAAUAAAAAAAAAAGAAUUGGUGUGCCCCAUUUUUGUGCUGUAUGUAAAUAUAGUGUUUGUUUAGGCCGUUGACGAAUGCAAAAGUGCAAAAAUUCGAAGCUUUCGAAUGUUCGUCAUCAUCCAAUGAAGUAUAUAUUUCGGUACAUUCACAUUUAAAAUGUAAAAGUAUUAAAAUAAUUCCGUUUUUCUUCGUUUAUUCCUGGUCUCUUGUGAAAUGCGUGUGCAAAAAGUUCAAUUGACUUCUGGAAAAACUGUUCAUUUCUCGCAUUGUUUUGUCCUUAUAAUGAUAAAUUUCCAGAUGUAAUGCGCCACAACGCAAUUUCAUAUUGCAAAAUUAUGUUUGAAUUCUAAGGGGAGAAAUAUCACUAAACUGCUUUGAGUUUAAGAAAGUUGAUAAUAACCAAGUUUAAGUUAAUGGAAUGAUGAGCUAUUAUUUUGCUGCAAAGCGAACCAAAUACGGAUCAUGAUGACGGUCGAAAAUGAGAAAAUGCUAACCAAAUAUGCAAAAAUCACUAGAUAUUUGGAGGAAAAUUUUUCUGCAUGUUCAACGCACCAACGAGCAUUGUUUAUAUUAACAAUUUCGGCUUGAUAAUUUUCAUAUUAUUUCCACCCGCCGACGAGAGGGGAAAAUAGCAAGCAUAUUUUGCUAUCGAGUGGCGACUUUUUCUCCACGAUUUUCAUUAUUUAUGACUGUGGUUGCUUUCCGACAUUUAUGCUUCUCUUUUUUUUUGCUGCUUUUCUUCCAUUCUUGAAUGUUUCUACCAAAAAGCAAAUAUACAAAAGUUGCAAACAUAGAGAGAGAGAGAGAGCGGGAGGAAGAAAAACAGAUCUUGUUGCGAGACACGCAAACAGCAAUACACGGAAACAACAACAUUCAAGCGCUGAAACUUUUUCAAUUUUAGUAGAAAAAAAAAACAUUACAAUUCUUCCGCUUGUUUCCGACACGUGAGAGGAACUGUACACAUUUACAUUCCAUGAUUCGCUAACAAACGCCACCAUUCAAUAUUGAACUUUCGAUCUACGUUUUUCUCAUUUUCUUUUUUUGCCACUUUAAAACAUUUCCUCUUUUAAUAACAUUUGCUGCGCCACCAAAAGCGCUCAUACAUGAUAAAGUUGAUAUCGAUAAAAUGACUGAGAGUAAAAAUAUCAGCAACAACAGCAGCGGUGGCAGCCGCAAUAGCAGCGGCAAUGGUAACAUGAGCAGUAACAUUCGAUGGCAUAAGUUGUCCUCUAUAUUCCCACAGUCAGGCUCUUUGAUGCAGUGCUGAAGUAGGAUCGUUGAAAUUGAAGCGAUAAAUAUGAUAUAGUAUACAUUGUGCUGCCGCCGCCUGUGCACUUACCAUGUCACAGCGAGCAACUGAAGCCCAUAUUCAUUGAUAUAUGUUUAUUGUUGUACUUUUCUUUUUAAAUAGCAUUGGCGUUGUGUCGAACGGAAAUAGGUAAAAAGUUCUUGUUUAUGCUUUGGCUGGGCAAAAAAAAAUCAUGUAAAGUGCUCUUAUUCUCAGCCUCUCACGCUGUCUGCCAAACAGAACAAUAGGCGGAGAGACAGAGAAAGAGAGAGAGAGAGAGAGAAAAAAAACUGCUCCAGAAAAUGAAAUAACAAUUUGAAACAUUGUACUAUCUCUGUACAAUUGGCCAUAAAUUACUCUAUCGAUAAAAUUAUUACGAUUAUACAGUGGGUUUUUGGAUCCUCAAACAAUGUAUGUCACACGCGAUACACACUCACACACUCGAUGUAAAUGUUAAAUGGGCCAAAGGGGUCAUAUCUUCUUGGCAAAACCCACAACACAAUAAGAAGAAUGAUAUAAAUAAAUAAAAUAAUUCGAAUCGAAUGCCAAUCAAUUUUUUAUUGGUUUACUCUUCGAUUAGAAGCGAAUUUCGCGUAAUUGUUGGCUGAUGUACGGAAUACUUUUUCCCGUUCUGAUUGCAUACACAGAGCGAGAGAGAUAGAUGGAUAGAUAAAUAGAGAGAGAGAGAGAGAGAGAAUUCCCAGAGAAAAAUUUCAUCCAUUAACCGUCACGUACGUUGACAAAAACGAGUCUAACCAUUCGUGACUAAAAGGACAUAACGAAAUUUGUUUUGGCUUUCUUAUUUCAUGUGUCACGCUGCAGAAUCAAGCCGAACGAAACGCUUGCGAACAAAACCAAACCAAACAUCUCCACCGUUGCAAUUGAAUGUAUCUAUUACGCUUGAGAAGAAAUACGGUGCGCAACAUGCUGGACGAAUAGAUUGCAUAAGACCUUUGUCUAAGGUGAUGUGGUGGUGUAGGUGGUGGUGGUGGUAGUGGUGGUGAUGUUGGCAAAUGGUAUAUAGAUGCCAACAAGCGUAAUCAAGUACAGAUAAAACGGAAUACCGAUCCCGAAAAACCGUUCUCGCAGCAUUAUUAGCUUCUUGUUUUAUGUUCUGUUUCAAGGUAUUUUACUUUGCAACCGUAAUUCAUUGGACGUUUACUUGGGCACAAAGCGAAUGGAACAGUGACGGUGCUUGCUUUGAAUGGCUGAUACACUGAAUCGGCAAUAUUAAUUUUAUGAUUGAAAUUUUAACGAUUGAUGCUGAACGGAAUCAAGGAAUAAGUAUUUUAAUCCAAGAUAUGCUUGCCCUCUAUAAACAUUCUUCCUGCUCCUAUUCCUUCGCCGCCCAGCCACUGGAUUUUAUCUAUUUUCAGCAAAUGCGAAUUACGCAAAAUAUCUGGCACAUUCACCAAGCAUGUGAAAUAAUGAGUUAAGGCAACCAGUUUUGACCGACUCCAUACAUUUCUUCCCCAAAAUUCAAAACACCAUUCAGAGAUAUUCUACUUAGCGCGCCCGUAAAUCGCAAGAAUUAUGGCUAAAGUGUGGGCUGUUAGCGCCGACUAGCAAAUAAUCAACAUCCAUGCUACAUGUGGCAAAGCAUUGAGCUCAACUCGUUAAAUAUUUUGAACUGCAAUUUCAAAUUGGUGUGUCGUACUCAACUGUGCGAGUACGAUAUUCGAGCAGCGUGUGUGUAUGUAUAAAGUACCGGUUGAUAUCCAGUGCCUCUAAUGCACCCUCAAUUUAUACAAAAUAUCGUUGCUUCGCUCCUCUUUCGUCUGCGCGCCUGAAAUGAACAAUUCGCAGCAACUUGGGUCUGACUGCAAGUUUUAAUGCUUGUGCAUUAUGUUUCAGCUGCUGCUGCCAAGUUUCGUGAUUUAGUUGCGCCAAAUCGCCAUAUUCAUUAAUUAUCUUUGGAAAUUUCAAAUUAUCCUCAAUGAGAGUGCAGAAUUCGAUGUUUGCUGUUUUCAUUCACUUUAUUACACAUUGAUUGGAAGAAUCAGACCGAAUUCAUUGGUGAAGAAUACCACAAUUACAAAUAUCGCAGAAAAAAAAAAUGCUUCACAUUACAUAAGUAUACUUUGUUUUCAUUUUUUUAUGGAACGAAAAAAAAAAUGAAUGAAAAAAAUGGCAACAUUUGUUGAAUUAUUCGAAAUAUUCUUGCAAAUUUAAAACUCCACCAGGCAACAAACAAGAUGAAUGCAAUGGCAACAGAACAACACAUCAUUCUCCCAUAAUGCCAAUCAAAAAUGCUAUAUUCAUUUUGAUUGCAAGCUAAGCGCACAAACAAAAGCAGCAUUGUACAUCGAAAUUAAUGAUACUCACAUUAAUAAGCAAACAAAAUGAAAUUAAAGUAGCAGCAAACACAUGCAAUGCGAGUCAAGAGAUGAAUCAAACGACAAAUAAAUAUCCGCAGCUCGGAGCAAUUCCAUUCUUUACCUCCCCCUCCCUCUCUCUCACCCUCUGUGUUGAAUAUUCGAAUCACUGUUCUGUGCAGUUAUUUUCGCUUGCAGUUUUUGUUGUCCUCUUCUAUGUUAUUUAAAUUGCAAGCUCAUUACACUUGGGCACUGAGCCGCAGCGCAUUUUCCACGGCUAAAACAAGAAGCAUUGCAAUUCGAUUGUGGUGCGCUAUGGUUCGGGAUUUGGCCCGAUGAUUUUUUUUUCCUCCAUUGGCAAUGUGUUCGUGUGGUGUGUGCAUGGUCUAUAUACCGAUCGUUUGUUGCUAACACUCCGCACACCGUUUCCAAUUUGAACUUAUUGACACAAAACGAACGCAUGCACAGACGCCGGUUGUGAGCUUUGAUUUCUGACUUGAUUGAUGAAUACGGGAUGUUUCAUUUGUUUGUAGCUCAAACAUGUUACAUGUUUGCACAAUAGCGGAAAAAAGGGAGAAAAUAUCCCAUCGCAUCGCAAGUAUCAAAGUGGAAUAGUGAAAUAAGUGUGCAAUAAAGUCUGAUAUGGCGAGCAUCAAACGGAUGUUUUGAACAAUGAAAAUGGGUAGAUGGGGUUUGAGUCACUUGAAAAGCCCUAGUUCAUUUUAGGGAAAAUGACAAAAUGACUAUACGAAGACAAGUCAAUGAGGAAAAAAUAAGAAGACUCGGUCAUUGUUAAUGGAGUUGGAGUGAAGUUUCAGCACAAAUAGCUGAAAUAUCAACUGAAAAUUCGUCUUCUAAGACUAUCCAGAUAGUCUUCAGUUUUCUAAGAUUAUGUCGAAAGGUGUGGAUUAAAUAUCGCUAUACGAUAGUUUGACCAAUCUGUGAUGCUGUUACAAAGCUGUGGCGACAUCAACGUACAAUGUUAUGGAAUCGAUGAUGCGCAUCAAAUCAAGCAACAUAUGCUCUUGAAAUUCAGCCUCCUGUUCGGUUUAUUGAGUGGUACAUGUGCACAGCACCGAGUACAACGAUACACAUCAAUAUGAGCUUCAAGUCAAAUAUAAUAACGAAAUGAAGCGACAACGAAAAUCGGAAAUCACAAACAGACAAAGCUGACUUAAAGUUUGUCGAAUGCACCGUACACAUUCGACACCUAAUCAAAUUCUUUGUGUUGUGUUGCCCUCACUCGCACUCUUUCAAUUACCGCUUGCUUUUAUUAUUUCAUUUUUUUUUUUCAUUUCAAAUGAUGGUAAUGGUGAUGGAGCUGAUUUCCACUGAUUCAUUCGCAAUCAAGCACCUACCCAACCCACUAGAAAGAACGGAUUCGUUCUGAAGUAGCAUUUUCAAAUACAAUUCAGUCGACGCUUUUUUUCAAUUCAUUCUAUCUCCUCUGUUCUGGAUCUCUCUUUUUGCCACUUCAUGUGCGUAAAUGUCGAGCAUUUUCUGUGCAAUUUCUUGCCAUUUUCCUCUAUACUUUUUUUUUGUCUCUCUCUUCUUCAGCUGCUACCAGCUUCGCCGGCAAAUAUUAAUAAAAUGAUAGCAGCAAAUACUUGUGUGUAUGUGGUGGUGGUAGUGGUGGGGGGAGGGAGGGAGGUAGUGUGUGAUUUGAUGAUACGAUUCCACACGUUGUGCUUGUUCAGCACAAAAUGAAAUUCUAACAACAGUUCGUCGGUGCCAUCGAUAAAUACAAAAUGCUAUACACGACUUCAGCCGGAAACAAAAAGUGCUUGCGAAAAAAAAGUAUUGGUACACACAUCCAAUGGAAAUAGCGAGACAAAACGAUGUUGAUUUUUUGCGCGCAGCUUCAAUGCGUGUGUGUGUGUGUGCGCGCGUUCCUAUCGGCAUGCAUAGAGAUUUCGGCUAGGAAUUAAAUUUGAAAUGCUUUUGGAAAAUGAAUGAAAAAACAGUGUUUUGUCGUUAAGCAAUUUUACAUGCAAAGUAUUCGAGUCGCAGAGUGUGUGAAAAUUCCGCAUAAGCUGUUAUUGUGUACACUGUUCAGUGAUUGUCGAUCAAUCAAUGCUGGCAUUGGGAGUACAAUUCUCUAAUCGCUCGACAAUUCAUGACAAUUUAUUUGCAAAUAAUUUAUAUCGAAACGGCUUCACUGUUAUUAUUAACGCAAUAUUAACGUAUGACAAAUUCGAUUUUUCAUCCAGAAAUGGGAGACAAAAAAAGAUCUAUUUCGUAUCGAUAUGUCUCGACAAAUAGAAAUGAUGAACAAGCAAUCGUAUUAUCGUAAUUUAAUUAAUGAUUUCAAAAUUGUCAUUUUUUGCUGCGAGAUUUCAUGAAACGACAUGGAUGCGCACGUACGGCUUGAUUGUAAUUUUGCAUUAGAUUCCACUUCAUUUGCAAAAUGUCAAUCAGAUAUAUUUAAAUUGAACAAAUAACGAUGAUUGAUUACAUUUUGCCAUACGAAUUAGGGUUUUCGUUGGGAAAAUGUGGAGUCAUUGAGAUUUUCUGCCGUGAGACAAUCUGGCCAGAUAAUGUGUUAAAGUGCAAUUCAUCCGAAACAACGUUUCCAUUCUUAAAGUAUUACCGUGUUCGCUCCGACGUACAUUCGGGCUAGGUGUCAUUGAAACUCGAAUGAGAUGACAAAACGAAGGAAUCUGAUGGCAGUUGGGUAGAUUAGAAUUGGAAACGUUGGCUCGAUGACCUUUCCCAUUUGGCAAUUGCAAUCAUGUCCGAUGUAAAUGAUACAUGUUGCUAUCGAUUGAUCGAGAUGUGGAAAAGACCGUGUGUCAACUGUAUGUGAGAAGGAAAAUGAAACAGCGAAAAUGUGUUUCAUGUGUAAUGAAUGGACAAUGACAUCAAAUCCAGUCGAUUUUCAUCUCUCACACCAUCCAUUCCAAUUCAACCCAUUUUCAUGGUCACUCAUGCGUUUUAUUUUGUGUGCAUUUCGUUUAAUUUUUGUUAAAUGUCUGCCUCACAGCGGUCGAUUUUUUUUUUUGUUCAAAUGAGAAUCAACGUGCAAUUCAACGACCGAUUUCAUAAAAUCUAAUUAGUUUUUAAUUCAAAUACGUAUUUAAAACUGUAAACAGUAAUCAAGAAAAUGGGAAAAAUGUGAUUCCGUUAUUUGUGAUGCGCACUCGACUGGAAUUCGGUAUUAAAUACAAUUAACCAACCGGUGACCACAUGUCUAUCAUCAAUUGCACGACUGAAAAUCGAACAUUUAAAAUGUCGCUUGCCAUUCAAGUGAAACGGUGCGGUUGGUAUGGUGUGUAAUGUCACACCAGAAUUGCCUCACUUGAACUGAACGAAAAAAAAAAAUGGCAACAAGAAAAAUCAAAUGAAAUAAAUUAAAAUAAAACAACAUGCACUUUCAACGUGUGAUAUAAAACGGGCCACAUGUGCCGUGAUCACACUUUGCAUACAAAUGAUUCAAAUUAUUGUUGCGUUGAUGUGUCAAAAGUCCGAAAUUUCUCCAGCUCUGAACUCUCGUUGUUCAGUCCAAGCAAGAGCCUAUAAUUAGCAAUUAAUAUAUAAUUAAUAUGUUGUAUUGACACGGCAUUAUUAAAUGACGUAUAUGUGUUGCAGUUGGCCACUGUUCAACGCGCCGUGCAUACGGGCGCACAAAAAAAAACCGUCAAUAUUAAUUAAUUUUAUAUGCAGAGUCUUGUUCAAUAAUUGAAUGAUUAUAUCGCUUAAUGCUCAUUUAAUUAUCACCAAUCGAAUUGUUCUGGUUUUGGUGCAGCCGAUGCAUCUUAAUUGUUAACAGGCAGCUGGCUAAGGUCAUUGAAUUUAUGCCAUUCACUGUGUUGUUUUAUGAAACAAAACGCAAAUCCAUACCUGACAAUGGAAGUGCGCGAAUUGUAAACUGUCAAUGAAUCAAAAUAAAUUUAAUUCAUUCUUGGGUCAUUUUUGCAUUGUAAAAACGUGAACAAGUACCAGAAUCAAAGUUAAUUAUUUUCUUAUCAAAAAUAAA